GUCUGGGUGUUGUGGCUGCUGCCAGCACCCCAUGGAGGGUUCACUCUUCUCAGGAAGCCAGAUUUACCUCACUCCUCCUGAGGCAUCUGUGGGAGAUGCUGUAAAAGAAAGCGUGUGCCCUUAACCACAAAAUAAAGGGAGUACUGUUGAAUGAAACAUGAUGUUUCUGAAAGAUGAAUUGUGACAACAGGAGGAAAUGUAGAAUGAGUGGGAAUAAAUGGUCCUGAGAAGAGGUAGAGUCCCCACCUCUGGCUUGAAAUUUCAGGAGUUUCAGAAAGAGUUAAAAUCUGGAAGUUACAAGUGCUCCUGCCUAAAGCCAAGUUCAAAUUCUCAGGGCAGUGUAUGACUUUGCCUUUUUAUUCUGUGUUGUUUCCUGGUAUGUGUCCCCCCUGCCCGUGUCCCUGAUAAGCUCAUCUUGGCUCUUGUCCCAGCAGGGCCCUGCCCGGAGCUGCGGCCCUGCCCUGCAGGGAAACCCGGCACUCUGGAGGGCCAGAGCCUAAUCUGGGAGCUGCAGCUUCCCCUGAAGGGACUGUCCCUCCUCUGCCUGGCAGGAUACCCGGGCCCAGUACAGCUCUGCCGGCACAGCUGGGCCUGAGGCUCCCCCGGCUCCCGCUCCAGGGCUGCUCCAUGGAAGGGCUGGGGCAGGCAGGGUCCUGUCCUCCCCCAGCUCAACAGCUGGGGUGAACCAUGUUCUCCUGCAGCCCUCCAAGGACAGGGUUGCCAUAACAUCCUUAAAUUGCCAUUUCCACAGGCAUCCCCAUGGCUCCUGCGGUUUUGUGUCUCAAGAGCCUCCCAUAUCUUUGUUGGAAAUGGGGCUGUGUGUUUCUAACCCUGUUCAGGGAGGAUGCAGACAGCACCUGAUGAUUGUCACAGCCUGUUCUGCAGUGAGUGCUUCUCCUCCACCCUUAUUUUUCUCUGCCCUGGGUUAAACCUCUUCCUUCAGUAGUUUGUAUCUCCUGAUUCUCUCCUCUCAAUCCUCUCAGUUUACCAAGUUUGAUAAAAGUAGUGUUGUCUGUAAUGGAAUGUGGGACCUCGGCUGAGGCCUCCCAGUAUAGAGCCCUGAGGACACACAGCCAGAAGGAGAUUCCCCAGGAGUGACAGUGUCACACAAUGUCUGGUUUGCCCAGCUCUCCAUCUAGCCACGACUUCCUGGUGCCCUCCACAGAAAGGGAAUUCAGAGGCCAUUCUGCAAGGUGCCUUUGGUCUGGGGGCUGGUCAGGGCAGUGGCAGGAUGUUGCACAGGGUCUGCUGCCCUCGUUUGCUGCUUGGCUUCUCUGAGGUCCAGGGGAUACAUCUGAAGGUGGUGGUUGGUCUCCAAGCCCUCCAGGCUAUUGAGAGUUUUAUUGUGGAGUUCUUCCCACGCUGUAGCUGAAAGAAUAUGCUGUGGAUGUAAAAUGCUGGCAAGUGGGGACUCUUGAGUGUGUAUCCAGGUCUGUAGGGCUAUAAUGAAUAGCAGAGCUAGAAAGCAGGUGCCUUUCAGGGCCUCAGGUUUUAAGCUAUUGAAACUGUGAAAUGUGCAUAACAAAAAGCAAAGGCCAGCUGGGCUGUAAAUUGCUCACUGUCAGUAUCAGUUUGUGUAUUUGAGACCUAAGAAAAUGCCAGCGUGAUCUGACCCAGGAGAAUUAGAUAGGUUUCUAGCUGUCUUUGUACUGAAAUCUUGUUAAGUAAAUUGGCUUUAAAAUUGAGUGUGUGUGCGGUGGCGCUGUCCCUGCGAGUCAGCACUCGUGUGGAUGAAUAACUGUACUUGGGAAUGCUCCUCAGACCUGCAGAGCUAUCUGUGGCUGAGUGCACGGUCCUCCCACCACAGACUUCAGCCCUCACCCAGGGCAGGGGUGUUUUCCCCAGGUGCUGCUGAUCGGAAGCCCCAGUGAUUCAGUGUCAUGUCUGCAUGACAGAGGUGAGCUCCAGGAGCCCACACAGGCAUUCUACAAAGGAGCUUUAGCAUGUCCCCUCUCAGGGACCUCCUCUUCUUUCAGUUUAGGACCAGUAAAGCUGACAGGCUGCAGUUUUGAACUAGAAUUCUGCUGAAGAGGUCUUAAUUAAAACAUUUUAGUGAAGUAAUUAAAAGACUAAAAUAAUCAUGUAGACAGCAGCUACAGGAUAGCUGUGGCUUUGAAACCUGCCUUUCUCCUCCCUGCCAGGAAGUCAAGUGAAUCUUGGCCACGUCUACCCCAGAAGAGCAGGUAUGCUCCCAACCAGGGUGUCUCUGAAGGAGUUGCCCCACAGAAGAAUUACACCCACUGUGAAAGGCAAUUUCAGAGGAAGGCAGGCAGGAUUAUUGCCCCAUGUACAGGUCCUUGUGCCCAUUGAGCUUUGUUUGUGUUUCUUCUUGCACUGAUCAGCCUUAGCAACAUCUUUAACUCUCAAUAGAUUUGUUUAAUUAAAUGCUUUUAAUGUUCUUUAACAGGGCUUCUAACUGCUGAGUGCCCCAGAGGAGCUAGCAGCAGACACUAUAGGUUGUGAAACACUGAACAGCCUUGUUGGGGUUCUGAGGGUCCAAAAAUGAGCAUUUAUAUUCUGCUGCUGUCUCCUCACCAGAGUGAGAAGGGGCAGGUAAUGGAGGAGACCUCAGAGAUGUAGCAUCGCUGGUACAUCGUGGUUUUGUUAGGCAGCAAUCAGUGCUCCUGACAGCCUGGAGGGCUGCUGCUGUUAUUAGCAAAAUGGUGGUGAUGGUGUGAUUAGCUCUGUGCAAGACUUGAGUUCAAAGAAGCUUAAAGGAUGGACAGAUGCAAACUGGACUAGGCACUGGAUAUUAUAAAGCUAUGUCAGUUCUGUGUGGUGUGGAAAAAAGUGGGUAGAUGCUGGUUCUCCCCUUGUUAUCCUGCUGGCCACAGCAUUUCCACUGCAAAUGGGCCUCAGUGUGAGCUGCUGCUCCUUGGUGGCACAGACAGAGACUCUUACUGUCUCCUGGAGCAGUCACAUUUGGAGAUGCAGCUCUUUUUUCCCUCUAUGAGCUUCUGCACAAAGGCAGUGGCAAAGUGGCUGUCAAAGACCAGGGGAAUGGAAAUUUCCUGUUUCUAAUGUUGCAGGGUUGAAGUGAGGCACAGCUUGUGAGAUUAAUGCAAUGAUUAUGAGGAGUUUGGAACUGGUCCUAACACAUCACAGAAAGCAAAGAAGUCCCACAGUUCAAUGUGCUGACUGUUCCCAGGGCUGUUCUGCCUCCUCACUGCUCACCUCCUGAAGCUCUGUCAUAUAAAGCAUAUGGCUGAAUGAGCUCCAGUGAAACAAUCCUAAAAAAACUGGGUUGCUUCUUAGAGCUUCAUUGCUAACUGGCACAGAGAAUUGUGGGGAGCGUUUCUGUGCCAGGCCUUCUCAGUGGACUGGUUGUGCUCAGUGCUGCAAGGGUUGUACAACUCAGUCCUUCAGCUUCUGCAUACCAAGAGAAAAUACAAACACUGUAUAUAAUGUGGAUCUUCAGAUGCCAUUUGGGGAGAAAUAUCUACAUAGACACGAGUUACAGCUGGAGAGGAGAGCCAGAUGGUGAAUUCAUUCUGGGGCACAGAGCACUGGACACUAGCCUGCUGGGAAAAGAUCCAAACCCAUCAAUUCAAUUCCCAUGAAUGGAGGGAGCUGGUGAAAGUUCAGAGACAGUUGCUCUGGCACAGCCCUCAUAAGGCUGGAGGAAUCCUGAGCAGAUUGGGAACUACCUUGGCUUUGGUCAGCUUACAAAUUUCUUUAAUUUGCUGAAGGAAUCAUACCUGAGAGGGUUAUAGGACUUAAUAAACAACUUUAAUUUUC